rnacentral:rRNA from 1 species
UACGUAGGGUGCAAGCGUUAAUCGGAAUUACUGGGCGUAAAGCGUGCGCAGGCGGUUUUGUAAGUCUGACGUGAAAGCCCCGGGUUCAACCUGGGAAUUGCGUUGGAGACUGCAAGGCUUGAAUCUGGCAGAGGGGGGUAGAAUUCCACGUGUAGCAGUGAAAUGCGUAGAGAUGUGGAGGAACACCGAUGGCGAAGGCAGCCCCCUGGGUCAAGAUUGACGCUCAUGCACGAAAGCGUGGGGAGCAAACAGG